rnacentral:rRNA from 1 species
CCUACGGGAGGCAGCAGCUAAGAAUAUUCCGCAAUGGACGAAAGUCUGACGGAGCGACGCCGCGUGGAUGAUGAAGGCCGGAAGGUUGUAAAAUUCUUUUAUAAUUGAGGAAUAAGUGGUGUGAGAGAAACGCAUCAUGGUGACUGUAGAUUAUGAAUAAGCAACGGCUAAUUACGUGCCAGCAGCCGCGGUAAUACACGUAAGU